rnacentral:rRNA from 1 species
UACGUAGGGUGCGAGCGUUGUCCGGAAUUAUUGGGCGUAAAGAGCUUGUAGGCGGUUUGUCGCGUCUGCUGUGAAAAUCCGGGCUCAACCCGGACUUGCAGUGGGUACGGCAGACUAGAGUGUGGUAGGGAGACUGGAAUUCCUGGUGUAGCGGUGGAAUGCGCAGAUAUCAGGAGGAACACCGAUGGCGAAGGCAGCCCUGGCAGAGUGACGCUCAUGCACGAAAGCGUGGGAGCAAACAGG